rnacentral:rRNA from 1 species
CAGUAGCCGCGGUAAUACAGAGGGUGCGAGCGUUAAUCGGAUUUACUGGGCGUAAAGCGUGCGUAGGCGGCUAAUUGAGUCGGAUGUGAAAUCCCCGAGCUUAACUUGGGAAUUGCAUUCGAUACUGGUUAGCUAGAGUGUGGGAGAGGAUGGUAGAAUUCCAGGUGUAGCGGUGAAAUGCGUAUAGAUCUGGAGGAAUACCGAUGGCGAAGGCAGCCAUCUGGCCUAACACUGACGCUGAGGUACGAAAGCAUGGGGAGCAAACAGGAUUAGAUACCCCUGUAGUCCCUGUCUCUUAUAA